ACUCGUAGUUUUGCUCCGACAAACUGCAC
rnacentral:sRNA from 1 species